rnacentral:rRNA from 1 species
CAGCCGCCGCGGGAAUACGUAGGUGGCAAGCGUUGUCCGGAAUUAUUGGGCGUAAAGGGCUCGCAGGCGGUUUCUUAAGUCUGAUGUGAAAGCCCCCGGCUCAACCGGGGAGGGUCAUUGGAAACUGGGAAACUUGAGUGCAGAAGAGGAGAGUGGAAUUCCAUGUGUAGCGGUGAAAUGCGUAGAGAUGUGGAGGAACACCAGUGGCGAAGGCGACUCUCUGGUCUGUAACUGACGCUGAGGAGCGAAAGCGUGGGGAGCGAACAGGAUUAGAUACCCGCGUAGUCCCUGUCUCUUAUAC